UACGUAGGGUGCGAGCGUUGUCCGGAAUUAUUGGGCGUAAAGAGCUUGUAGGCGGUUUGUCGCGUCUGCUGUGAAAAUCCGGGGCUCAACCCCGGACUUGCAGUGGGUACGGGCAGACUAGAGUGUGGUAGGGGAGACUGGAAUUCCUGGUGUAGCGGUGGAAUGCGCAGAUAUCAGGAGGAACACCAAUAGCGAAGGCAGCUCGCUGGGACGUUACUGACACUGGAG
rnacentral:rRNA from 1 species